GCAAAAAAAAAAAAAAAAAAAAGCUCUGUCAUCCAAGCAGGGCUCAGAGUCAAGCCGCUGCUCCUCCGCAUUGAGAAGAGCCAGAGGAAGUGGCUCAGCCAUCUGUUUAGGAUGCCACCGGGACGCCUCCAUGAAAAGGUGUUUCGGGAGAAAGAAGUGAGAAUGAUAAUCCGUGCCAAUUAACACCCAAGAGACGGACACCAUUUUCAAAUAAAGACAGGCCAUCAUCAGAUGAUGAUGAAAUUCCAUCAAGUAUUCCUGCCAAGAGAUCUUCCUUCAAAGUACUUCUAGGAAAGAGGAAGAGAACUCCCUGGCAGGAAAGCGAAAUAAAGGCAGUGGAAAGGCACAUGAUGGGACUCAUCAAAUCUUUUUGCGUCCCAGGAAAAAUGGAUUGCGAAAGAUGUUUAAGGGCUGAACCAGAAGCCCUUAAAACACGAGACUGGCAAAC